rnacentral:rRNA from 1 species
AUACGGAGGGUGCAAGCGUUAUCCGGAAUCAUUGGGUUUAAAGGGUCCGUAGGCGGGCAAAUAAGUCAGAGGUGAAAUCCCACAGCCCAACUGUGGAACUGCCUUUGAUACUGUUUGUCUUGAGUUAUAGUGAAGUAGAUAGAAUAUGUAGUGUAGCGGUGAAAUGCAUAGAUAUUACAUAGAAUACCGAUUGCGAAGGCAGUCUACUAACUAUUGACUGACGCUAAUGGACGAAAGCGUGGGGAGCGAACAGGAUUAGAUACCCUAGUAGUCC